CUUUGCUCAGAGCAAACCCCGGGAAACCGGGGGGCGCAGAGCCACGAAGCUAACUAGAACAGCAUCUUCCCUUUCCAACUAUGAGCGUUCGUCAUAAUGAAGAAGACCGCUGUUUUACAUGCUAGUCGAGCCGCCAAA
rfam:Nitrospirae bacterium GWC2_57_9 gwc2_scaffold_13308, whole genome shotgun sequence.